rnacentral:tRNA from 1 species
AGGGGGUUAGCUCAGUUGGUUAGAGCAGCGGACUCAUAAUCCGCUGGUCGUGGGUUCAAGUCCCUCACCCCCUAC